rnacentral:rRNA from 1 species
AGCGAACGCUGGCGGCAGGCCUAACACAUGCAAGUCGAACGAACCUUUCGGGGUUAGUGGCGGACGGGUGAGUAACACGUGGGAACGUGCCUUUAGGUUCGGAAUAACUCAGGGAAACUUGUGCUAAUACCGAAUGUGCCCUUCGGGGGAAAGAUUUAUCGCCUUUAGAGCGGCCCGCGUCUGAUUAGCUAGUUGGUUGAGGUAAUGGCUCACCAAGGCGACGAUCAGUAGCUGGUCUGAGAGGAUGAUCAGCCACAUUGGGACUGAGACACGGCCCAAACUCCUACGGGAGGCAGCAGUGGGGAAUCUUGCGCAAUGGGCGAAAGCCUGACGCAGCCAUGCCGCGUGGAUGAUGAAGGUCUUAGGAUUGUAAAAUUCUUUCACCGGGGACGAUAAUGACGGUACCCGGAGAAGAAGCCCCGGCUAACUUCGUG